ACUAUAACAGGAUACUUGUUUUGAUUCUGUGCUCAAUAAUAUUAGCUAUUCUUUAAUAUUUAUGUUCAAAUAAUGUGGUAGAUAUAUGGCUGGAUUUGGUAAGAAGUAAGUCUAAACUUAAGUUGAUACCGGUUCUUAUCUGAUAGGCAUCUCCACAGAAAGUGGGCACCUUGUUGUGGGCCAUGUAACAAAAACUUGGAGAAGGGUCCAGUUGCAACGAUUUCCUCUCUAGCUCUAGCUGUACUCUUAACAAGUCAUAGAACUGGAAAAUAUCUGUUUAGGAGUCUCUAUUUAAUACAUGAUUUAGUAAUCAGUUAAAG
rnacentral:lncRNA from 1 species